UUUUUUUUUUUUUGCCUUGGCCAGUUUCCCCUUUUGCAUGAAAAAACCCCUCACUUUAGCAGGAGGGGAUGCCGUCUCAGAACAGAAACUCAGACUGAGUGAGUUUUCGCGGGCACCUUAGGGCCGAAAGCAAUGUUUUGACAGUCCCACGUACGAAGUUCUAACCCGGCGAGCCCGCAGGUUUAUCCCACAAGGAAACCUCCUUCAUUCGUCUCACGGUCUCACCUGUACCUUCCCUAAGAAGACGAAAUAACUUCCACGCCAGUGGAACAUCAAGACCAAGCAAACCACUUUUGCUAAACCAAAGACUGCGGUCUUAUCCCGUUAUUGGGCCAAAUCAACUCCACCGCAUAUAGCCUGAACACAUCAUCACCGCAUACCACACCUUUGGGGCACUAGAGGUUGUGACACACGGCCUGCACGGCCCCAACAAACCCCCAACAAGAAGAAGAAAAGAAGUCAGCACUCAACACAAAGUAAAACUAGACAAGAUGUGAAAACUAUCAUUGAAAUUAAUUGUAAUAUUCAGAGUUGACCUUUAAAUAAUGCGUUUGGUCAUUAAUCCCGAUUUUGAAACUGUCUAUUAGCAAAUAAUGCAGGCACUUCAAAGAAAAGCAUCUCGAGAAGAAUAUCUUUCUACAUUAAAUAGUUUCAAUAACUCAUCCAAUGAUAUCAUUACACACUUCACCAAAGAAGUUAGCUGGACAAAAUCUCUUGAGGGAGACAAGAUGUUAGAGAUGGCAAGAAACAAAAGAAUAUUCUGCUUCCAUAUAGGAAAAAUGUGGCACCUGACCUGCGCCAUCCUCCUGCCUCAGCUGGUGAGCUGACUGUGAAUUUCUCUAGAGAAGAAAGGUUGAUACUGUAUGAGCACACCUUAAAGAAUGCUGCCUCUGUGCCAACACCUCCAGAGCUCCUUCCAAUGGAUGUGAGUGGUUCUUCUGAGACUCAGCCAAAGGAGCUGUCUGGACUUGAACUGAAGAAAGCAAUGAGAGAUUUCAAGAGACGUCGGCAAGCUUACAGAACCAAAAUAUCUACCAAAAACAAAAGCCAGAAUGAGGUUACCCGAGAAAUUAUCGAUAACAUGAUGGCCUUGCUAGGUUUGCAAGAUCCAAAAUUAGACCUGCCUGGCACUUCAGGAAGGUUACAUGCCCAACAGUGCAAUGAAGAUUGUGAUAAUGAUUUAUAUACUUUAGGUAAGAGUUCAGGAUUCAUGACUUCAGUUUGUCAAGAUGCAAUAGAUUCACAUCAAGUGAAAAACAUAGAUUACACCAAACAUCAGGAACAGAAAACAAAGAGAAGUAAACAAAAGAGUCACAGCAGAAGUAGGAACCCAAAAGAGAGAAUAAAAUACCAGCAGUAUGACACUUCAAGUCAUGAUACUAGUAGGUUUUUAGAUGAAAGAAAGCACAGAAGAAUGGGAAAGAAAUAUGAAAUGAAGUCUGAAAGGCAUGAUACACCUGAUAGAUACCAAUCCAGAUCAAAAGAUAGGGGAUGGAAUCAAGGUAAAGAAAAGAAAAGAAAAAAAGAUGAAUCUGAAUACAGAACCUAUGAACAAAGAAAAAUAAGCAAGAAGGAAGAAAAAUAUGAGAAUGAAGAAAGGCACUAUAGGCAGGAGGCUUUUUCAAGUAGAUCCAAAAAAAGGGAAAGAAAUGAGAGUAAGAAGAGGAGUGGUGAUAACAAAAUGUAAGAAUUAGAUAAGAAAUUGAACUUGAUAAAGAAUACAGAGAAGUAGUGAAAUAUGAAACAUUAAUUGUAAACACAAUGGUAUCAGACAUUGUAAUGAAUAAGAAAUUGAACUUGAUAAAGAGUGCAGAGAAAUAAUGAAAUAUUAAGCAUUGAUUGUAAACACAAUGAUAUCAGAUUGUAAUAAAUAAAAAAAUUAUCAACU
rnacentral:misc_RNA from 1 species